rnacentral:rRNA from 1 species
GUGUACAGCCACGCCACCCUGAACAAGCCCGAUCCCGUCUGAUCUCGGAAGCUAAGCAGGGUCGGGCCUGGUUAGUACUUGCAUGGGAGACCGCCUGGGAAUACCGGGCGCUGUAGGUG